GGACCUACACAUGUUAAAGAGUUCAAUGUACCAGUUCCCAAAGAAUCACUAAAGUUAAGAAACGUUGAGAGUGGUUAGUAUCCGGAUGGGUGACCACAUGGGAAACAUACACAGUUACUUUCC
rnacentral:rRNA from 1 species